ACACCAAGAGUGAACUUUAAUGUAAACUGCAGACUUUGAGUGAUAAUGAUGUCAAUGUAGGUUCAUUGAUUGAACAAAUGUACCACUCAAGUGUGGGAUGUUGAUAGUGGGGAAGUUUUGCAUGCAUUGAGGUAUGGGUAUAUGUCAACUCUGUGCUUUCUGCUCAACUUUGCUGGGAACCUAAAACUGCUCUUUAAAAAUGAAGUCUAGUUUUUAAAAAAAUAGCUUACUGGAUACAUUUGACUGAAAAUUGAACACAAUAGAAGGCAGAAUUAAUGAACUCAAAGACAGUCAUUUGCUCAGUCAAGAUGAAGAAACAAAAAUCAGAUUUAUCCUCCCACCUGAAAAAAAAAGUUAAAUUAUAUGAAGCAACGGUUUUUUGAAAAACUGGACAUCAAGCAACAAAGGACAGUGACCCCUGAAACAAGGGGAAAUCCUAAGGUUGUCGCAGCUUACUGCCUUCAGUUUCCAGGUGUGGCACAGGGAUGGGGAACCAUGGCAGAGCUGGGUGAGAAGAAUGAGCUGAGAAUCUGAAGAAACCCGGACAGCUAAGAUUACCAGGACAGAGAGGACAAGAGAGAAAAAGUUCCAGCCAUUCAGAAGGUGAGCAGAGGCCCAAACACUGCAAGAACACAUCUCCUGCUGGCGAUUUCUCCAGCCUGCUGUCCAUUUCUGAGAAUGUUCCGCGAGCUAAGAAACCUCAUUGGGAGUUGGGGGGAAGAUGACCGUCCCCAAUCCUUUAAUCCUUGCCUGUAAGAGAAUGAUACGGCCACACCCUCUGCCAUGUGACUGCAGUGCUGCCUGAUAGAGCUGCACAGUUCCCGUCCCAUUUCACCGCUGCCUCCAAAUUCCCACCCCAGCUGCGCCACGUCUCUCAAGCAGAGCUGGCGAUCCGAGAGCAGUGACUGGGGACGAGUGUCCACGCGGGGCUGACGAACUGUCAAAGCCGCCACCAUCUGUCAAGACCUAUGAGGACGCACACAGCACGGGCAGGCGGGCAGGAGAAGUGGCGGACGCAGUCGGCCACCCAGCAUCAGCUCCGGAGGCGCGCUGCUUCACCUGGUGACCUGUCCCCGGCCUACGGGUCUCCAGGAAGCACUCCAGUCCCUGCCAGAUGCUAGCGGGAAGGCAGGAGGGGGCGCCGUCCCAGCACCCCGGAAGCUGCCAAUCUGCUUGCGGGGCUGAGACCGAUCUAGGAAAGGGUAAGCAAAGAUGCACGCGCCUGGGCGGCACGCAGCGGAUUUCCAAGUCGUCUGCACAGAUCAUUGACCCCGCAGGACACGUGCGCAUGUUGGCAGGGCCGACUCCGGAGGAAUUCCAACUCUUCUGAAUCUGCCACCUUGCAGAGGGGACAGCUGACCCUUCGCCCCAUCUCUGAAAGGGCCAAGGAUCUUUCCUCUCAUUGCUUCCUACUGAAUGCCCAGGAUGCCUCGGUGUUGCCUACCUUCCGCAAAAUCCUCAGGGCUGGAUCGUUUUCGGAAACUGCCACCAGAGGGAGCUCCAACAAUAGAGCUGGAUUUUGCUUCCUCCCAGCUCAUAAAGGAAGUCGGGGGCGGGGGAAAUGCUGUUCUCUGCCACCAGCAGGUGCAAAGAUCAGUUUAAAACGCCCAAGAUUGUAACUUCACUACUAAUUCGUGAAAAGCAUAUGGUGGAAUAAUGCUGGAUCUGCAGAGUGACAGAAUAGCUGUCCUCCACCGUGAGUUUCCCUCAUUUCAGACUCAAAUACUUCAGACCCAAAUGAUCUCCAAAUCAGAACUCCUGCCUCUGCAUUCAGUCUGUAGUGUUCUCUCCAGAGGACUGAAUCCUAGCACCCUCGCUCCCCUCCCCUCCUCUGCCAGGCUUUACAGCCUCCGGAACUGCCCUUUCAACCAGAACAGAGCCCAGACUGUCACCUCGAACAUCAGAGGAGUCCCAGCCCCAUUCCUGAGUGCCCCUCUUCCCCCAGCUGCCCUGUGAACAGUGAUAAGAGCUGUGACUGUGUUCUCCAGGCACUGAAAUUAAAGUCAGAACCACUCCGGCUAUAGAUUCCAUGUGCCGCUUCUUACUGCAGACCCUCAUCUCGGUUUGGGAUGGGGAUGUGGGCAGUGUGUUUUGCUGCCAGGAUGAAGUGGUUCAAUUCUCCUAGAAGGAGAUGCAGCAGUCACGUCCAAAAGCAUGACAAAGCCCACCUAAGAUGACCUGUAUCUUAGAAUAGUCUGAAUUCAUGAGGCUUCCGUCCUCAUGUGAAUAUGUCACUAGCACUUGUUCCUUCUUCUGGGGGUAUACUCAGCCAGCAAUUUCCUUCUUUAAGUUUGGAGACAGUUGUAAAGAGGGGAGAACCCUUGGGCUCAUGGGCCUUUAGUUUUCAUGCAAAAUCUAAGACCUCACCUAGUGGGGGAGGCAGAGAGAAUUGGCCCUGACUUUCAGGUUUGGGGGUUCAGCACAGAUCACUGUUGUGGGAUCCAGACAUUCCUGCACCCAGGAGAUGUGCAAGGACAAGCAUGAGAAAAACUGCAUCUGGCCAGGCACAGUGGCUCACGCCUGUAAUCCCAGCACUGUGGGAGGCCAAGGCAGGUGGAUCACCUGAUGUCAGGAGUUCAAGACCAGCCUGGCCAACAUGGUGAAACCCCGUCUCCACUAAAAAUACAAAAAUUAGCCAAGCAUAGUAGCACAUGUUUGUAAUCCCAGCUACUCAGAGGUUGAGGCAGCAGAAUUGCUUGAACCUGGUGGAGGUUGCAGUGAGCCGAGAUCGCACCACUGCACUCCAGCCUAAGCAACAGAGCCUUGGGGGAGAAAAAAAAGAAAAACAAUGUAUCUGAGGCGUGCGUGACUACUGGGUAACGGCAGCCAUUCCUGGGGAUGUCUGGAAAGGCUUCAGAGGGCAGGCAGACCUGAGUUCCUCCUGCCCUCUACCAAGAGAUGACUGCAGCCUCCAGCCUGGCCUGCACUGGCAGGCACCUUCAAGAGGGACGACAGGACCAACAGGGAGCUGCUGCUGUCCCCCAGGCCUCCCCUGCUCAGGUCUCAUUUGCCAUUCAUGACUUGUAGCUGAGAUGGGUGGAAGGCGCCCUCUGAGGCAUCUGGGUUCAAAACUCUGAAUGAAGAGAGCACUUGCAUUCUCUUUCUUCUCAUGCAUGGUCAAAAAUGCAGACUCUGUCCAAGAUGGUGCACACUCAGGGUUUUGGUUCAGGGAUGAUCAAGCCCCUUCAUCAGUGAUUUUCAUCCUCAUGUCAGCUAGUGCCUCCUCUGAAAUGGCCUAGAGCCUUCAUGCCAUUGCCUCUGCCUUCCCCAGCAUCCCCAUUUCACAGGGCAGCUUGAGGAAGAGGGGCAAUGAGGAACAGGGCUGAGACUCCUCUGAUGUUUGUGGUGACAGUCUGGCUCGGUUCUAGUUGGAAGGGCAGUUCCUGAGGCUGUUAGUUCCAGACCAGCCUGGCCAACAUGGCAAAACCCCGUUUCUACUAAAAAUAUAAAAAGUAGCCGGGUGUGGGGGUGCACACCUGUAAUCCCAGCUACUCAGGAGGCUGAGGCAGGAGAACUGCUUGAACCCAGGAAGCAGAGAUUGCAGUGAGCCAAGAUAGCGCCACUGCACUCCAGCCUGGGGACAGAGUGAGACUCCGAAAAUAAAAAUAAAAAUAAAAAUGUGCACAUUCUGUUAUUCAUGUGUGCAUUUUAAAAAAAAUGGCCUUAUCAAGGAUGAGGGUUUUGGCAUUUGUGCAAAGCCUGAGGUUUUAGGAAAAUGUCGUUGAUGAACUGACGCUGGCAAGACUCUCCAUUUACAGUAACCUGUGACUAGAAAUGUCUCACGUUGGGAGAAAAAUGAGGAAUCCGGGAGAAUAAGUGUCAUGGUGGGUUUAUGUGGGGCAUUUUCUUCUUUGUCCAACACCUCAGAUCUGCAACCAAACCAGCAAAAGCUAGUACGUCUCAGGAAAAACUUCUGCUUGUUACCGAGCUUCCUGGAAAAUUGCAUUUGGAGAGCUAUGAAGGCUUGGCUGUGAGUAAUUUGUUUUUUAAAUAGCUCUGUUAGUUGGUCCACAUUGUGUUUUUCAUUCCACCAGAGCCGAAGGUGGUGUUUCUUUUGUUUAUGGUAUUAGUGUUAUAUUAUUGGUGAUCUCAUUGUUCUUGUUUGUGACAUGUUUACCUCAGUAGGACAGUUAUUGUAGGAGGGAAGUCGGGAGCCAGUCUACCCACCAAACCUGCAGAACUAAAGAAAAAGACUCCAAUCUGUCCCGCAGGGUGCAUAUUACUCCUUUCUUGGAUUGUUAAAUUCUAAUUAUAGGCUGUUGAUCCCCAUUAGAACCAUUUGUAAGCCUAAACACUGUUGUGCAGCAUCUUUUGCCAAUAGGUGUGUUUCAUUCCAAUCGUUGUAUAAAACAUAACAUUCGUGCUUUUGGGGGACUACAACAGGUUAGUGUUCUCUGGCAAAGUUGGACAAGAAAUAGUCAAAAUAUGACUCAAAACUAAGAUAGUGCAAACAAAAGUACACUUUGCCUUGAUGUUUAUUUAUUAGGGAUUUCUGAAACCCUAGGACACUAGAGCUCACCUUUCAGAUCUCAGACCUCAGAUGCCACAUCGUCAAGGAAGCUCUCCUGGACUGCCCACUUCCACAUUCCUGGGACAGCAGAGAUCUCCCCCAGCCCUGCCUGGCACUUGACACAGUGGAUCAUUUCACAGGACUGGGGGAUUAGUUAACUGUCUUUCCACUAGAUGGAAAGUUUCAGAGGAAUCCUGUCGGGAUUACCGAUGCCUAGUAUGAUGCUUAGCACACAGUAGGCAUUUAAUAAAUGUGUUGUGUAGUGCCUGUGUACUGUUUUAUUUGGGAAUCUUCAGAAGGUAAGAAAAGCAAAUGGAUACAUUCAUAAUAAGUAUGAGAUGUGGAGAGCAAGCAAGUCCGUAGAUUAUAAGACGUAAGCAAAAUUCAUAGUAUGUGUUAAGUAGAAGAGGGGAUGAAUAAGAUGGAGCUGUGAGACUCAGGAAGAACUCACAGAAUUCACAUGGAUAAUGAGUAAAUCAAUAACCUGUGGGAGAUGUUGAAGACAGAUACAAUAAGUGGAACAUAUAAUAGAACAAACCAGAGUGCUAUGGACCAAUAGAGAGACAUUAAAAGACCAAGUUGUAAGAUACAUUCAUGCUACAUCAGGGCUGACAGCUAUCUGAUUCCCAAAAUCAGCCACUCAUCCAUCGGUGACACCCAUUAUGGUCCCAGUUGUGUUCUGCCCAAGAAGCACAGAUAAACAGAGAGAGCUGUUCAGGAGGCUAAUGGAUGCUCCUGCUGUGGCCAGGAGAACUUGCCCCUGGCUCUCCAAUAGCAAAAGCGUGUAUCGUUGCCUCGGGCACCUUCUUUCUGUUGGGUCCCUUCACUCAUCCUCAAUUAUGGUCCUUGUAACCACAUCAUUAAGAAAGAAAGUUAAUAUGGGUGGGAGGGAUAUGGGUGGGAGGCAAUAUGUGAACAUUGCAUAUUAAAUGGCCCAGGAUUCAGGAAGGGGACUUCCCACCUGCUUCUGUGGUAUAUGUGUUAACCUACCCCAUCUCUUUCCUCUUGCUUCUCAUUGUGUGUUUAAAAUUUAUUCAACAAUCUGUAUGAUUCAAGUAUCUUAACUAGAUCUUUCUAUUGUAUUACCUCCAGAAUAGUUUGCCUGGUAGCGCAAUAGUUUGCCUGGAGAUUAAUUUCCUAUACAACAUAUUGAAAUAGUGCAUUGUGAAUUGGCUACUAUGACUGCUGAUUAGGGUGAGGGUUAGGGUUAAACCAGUUUCUGAAUCUAGCUACUCCCCCCUACCAUAAAAACCACUUGCAUUCAACAAUUAGCCAUUGCAUUAAGUGCUAAAGAUACAAUGAUGAGAAAACAGCCAUGAUUCCUGCCCUCAUGAAGUUUAGAACAGAAGAAAGACUAUCUGGUAAUCACACAAAUAAGUAACAAAUAAAUCUAACGUUUUAACCAGUGAUAAACCCUCUGAAGAGAAAGUGCACUGAGGUCCUCUGAGAGCAUAUGCCAGGGGAAUUUGACCCAUUCAGAGAGGGUUAAUUAAGCUAAGGGAAAAGGCAUAAAUGUCUCAGGCAGAAGGAAUUGGCUAUGCAAAGGCCACGUGAUGGGAUGAUGUCAUCAACCAUUCUUUCAGCAGACAGCACUGACCCCGUGUGCCCAGCCGCAUGCUAGAGGCAGGAAUACAGGGGAGAAAGACCAGCACUGCCCCCAAGAAAAGCCCACGAUGACUGUCGGACCUAGGAGGAUCCUUGGAGAACCUGAAAAGGUUUCACAUUGCAUGGAGGAUAAGACUAGAGCCUUAUAAGAUAAGACAUCACUGAGAGUUCAGUUGUUAAUCCUGGGAGGGGUGAACUCAUGAAUGAUCACUGGGUGUGGUGGUGCAUCCCUGGCUCUAGUCUUACCCUCCAUGCAACGUGAAAACUUCUGAUGCCCCAACUCAAACCUAAUUUUCAAGCCUUCGUUAGCUAAAAUCUCACCGAAGUCCAGCUUUAGGAGAAAUAACAGAUACUAUUCCCUGGCUUAUGCCAAACUCUUUACAUGCAUUGUUUUGUUUUUUUAUCUUUGUAACAACCAUGUGAGAUUGCACUAAACUGACACUCAGAGAGAAGGUAAGUCAUGCCCCCGAGUCAUUCAGCUAAUAAGUGAAAAGAAAAAAAAAAAUCAAGAUCCAAACCCAGGUCAUUCUGGCCCUAGAGCUGAAACUCAGUGAAAACCAAGCUCUAGCCAGGAAUUGUGGUUAAAAUAAAGCUUCAGCCAGCUGGAUACUCCAGGGUGUUUAGGAAUGUGAAGUUUGUGGGUAUAUCUUGGUAUUGUGGUUGUGUUGAUGCUAUUGUAGUUUUGGUAAUGUGGUCAUCUCUUGACAGUACAUGCUGAAAUGCUUGCAGAUUAAGUGUGGCAAGGUCCAGGUUUUACUUCCAAAUAAUCUGUGUGAAUAGGGGAAGCAGUGUGUGUGUAGGUUUUGACAGCUGGGGAGGCAGAGUCCGUGGGAAGGAGGGGAGGAAAUAGAUUGACCAUAAAAUAGAUUUGCCUUCGUUAUUUGGAGGUUGGGGACAGGUGCAUGGGAGUUCACUAUAAUAUUCUCUUUUCUUUCCUAUAUGUUGGAAAUUUUCCAUAAAAUGUUUUUUUCCAAAACAAGUUAAGUUCUGGGUUAUGUUUUGAUGGCCUACUCCUUCAUCUCCAAAUCCCAUAGACUUUCACAAUUAUAUUUGCCCCCGUAAUUGGAAGUUGUAUGGGGCUGUUUCAAAAAUCUGAGUCAUCAAAGAUGUAAUUGACUUCCUACCGCCGGAUUAGCAGGCAAAAAUGUACCCGAUACUUUCUCUACCGGCGCUGUGUUGGGCUCUGGGCUGAAACCCAGUCUCUCACAGGCCCUCGGAACAGCCCCACCAGUUAAGAUCCAUCCCUGACUUCCAACUCUGUAACUAGGGACAAGUUAAUUGACUCCUCUUAGCCCUUAGUGUCCUCAUCAAUUAUUACGUGGUAAUAACCCCUCAGAGAGUCGCCGGGAGAAUUAGCUCGGCGCGGUGCAUGGGGCUAGAACUCAGGGCCCAGCAGGUCUGACAAUGCAGGUUUCCCCGCUCGCCUGUUGGGUUUUUGAAACGCCCUCAGCGGGGUUUUCCUCCUAAUUCUGGUUUGGAGGAGCCAUCUCUCUCCAUCCCGUCUGCCAGCGGGGUUUGCUUCACACACAGACGUGGGCAGAUGGCAUCGGGGACACAGGGAAACCUGACCUUAGAGGAAAUGGAAAAGUUGGAGAGACACUGAGCACUGAUACGAAAUAAUUCUCUUGCUGAAAUACACGAAAGGAGUCCCAGCAGCCAUAUUAGUAUUUCCACGUCCUGUGUCAGCCCCAAGUAGAGAGAACUUGGAAUGGGAGGGGAAAUGGCAGCCAUCAGGAAAUGAAAUGCUGGCCCAGAGAAUUCUAAGCAAGUCAAUCACCAGUCCAAGUAAGGAGGUGUUUUUUGUUUUUGUUUUUGUUUUUGUUUUUGUUUUUAAAUAUCCACUUGCCAUUUGUUUUACCCAAUUCAAAAUUUUUUCCCAAGAAAAAAAAAUACACUUGUAAAAUGCCUCAUUAACAGCAAAGAUGAAUUGGACCUCAACUUUUGAAUGCCAUGCUGCUUUAAAGGAAACUGUAGAAGUUCGUGGAAUGAAAGAAUACUGCCAGCAUGCAUUCGGACUAUUUUCCAUCUGUGUGGUAGAGUCUGAGCUGUGUGUUCUACAGAAGCUCCAGUUGGCAGAAGGACGACUUUGGCCCUGAAUUUUCAUUUAUUUUUGUUUCAAAAAUGAAAGGAUAGUUGCUAUUUUUCCAAAAUUUAGAAUUUUAAAUCACUACCCACUUUUGAUCUCUGAUUUAAAUCUUGUUUUGAGAGACACAUUAGACAGUCUCUACAUAUUAUAUUAUCUUGCAAGGGAAAAAAGGAGAAAGAUCGGAAAGUGCUGACUUUCUGUGUCAAAUGAAUGGAUUAUUGGCUUCAUUCUUCUUUAUUUUAUAAAGGUUUUCUUUUCAAGAAAUGCAGAACUUUACCAAUACAAUAUAUAUCAGUCUAAUCGGCAGUCAUAAAAUGGGUGGCAUGAGGGUGGAAUAUGGCAGCAGGGAGAUCUCAGCUGGCAGCAAAGCAUGAAGUGGUGAUUGUGUUUUUAUGGAAAGCCUGUUUUGUCCAGUGGCUGAUGAAAUUCAAAAUGGUCCCCUAAGCCUAUCUCUGAAGCCAGCAGUUCAGAAGCAGUAGAGCUAGCGGCUCUCUUAACAUCUGUACCCUGCCCCCUAUUUACCCAGCGACACCCCAGCCCAGAGCACCUCCAAAUGUAAGACUUAAUAUAACCAAAUGGAAGCUGCUAGGAGGUACUCAGUUCCAGGAUCAACAGUUUUUGCUUUAAAAAGAAGGUAGCAGUUCAGCCCCUUGUUUGUUUUUGCCUACGCAUUUCCCUACCAGCGGGAGACCAUUACCCGGGACAAUGUUUUAUUCCAUUGUCAUUAUCUCCUACGGAACUAAAACAAUGCUCUGUUUGGCCUCCCAGGCAAGGGGGAUUUGUUCCGCUCUUCUUUAAGCAGAGUUUCCAACUGAGUUUCUGACCCAGUCACUUGAUAUCCAGCAGGGAUACCUGGUGACAAUUUUUUAAAAAUCUGCUAUCUUGUGUUUUGUAAUUUCAUUCUCUGAGAAGUAGCCUAGAAACUCGAUUCUCAAUCAAGAGGAAUCACACCAUGGCUAAGGGAAGAGGGUUUGCUCAAGCUGCAUGAGCUCUAUAAUUUAAAUCAGCCAGAUAGGAUUUAUUUAUAGUUGUUUUAUCUUUUUUUGUUUUGUUAUUGAAUAGCAAACCCCAAAAGGUUUCAUAACAUUGUGUUGUUGAUUCUCAAACCCCAAAAGGUUGGGAACCACUAGAGCUGAGAUGUUUUCCAUUAGACCAGGGUGUUUUUUUCUAUUUCUUUUUAAAUACAUAAGUAAAUUAUAAAUGUAGAUAGAGAUGAGAUUGAGAUAGAGAUAAAUGAUGCCAAGAUUUCUAACAUUUAUGACAGAUGUUGAUGAACAAUAACUCGUUGGAGCUAUUUUGUCAUACUUGAGAUUUUCCAGAAAAUAGAACAAGCCCACAGAAUGGGUUUAAUCUGCCAAAGCAUCUCCCUCUUUACAAGCAUCUACACAGGCCUCCAGCCCUAAGUACUUUCACCUGGACAAUGUUAUGAAGCUUAAUCCAGUACUAGUAGCAGAAAGACUUGUUUACUUUGGAGCUAAGGAGUGAGUAGGACACUUAAGACUUUGUUUUGUCCUUGGACUCAAGGCAAACUAAUGGUUAGCAUCACUCCAGUUGUUGCUAUCAUUUUAUUACUCAUAUGUAGCUAUGAGUAACUUGAGAAACUGAAAUGUAACUGCUGCAUAUAAUAAAAAAUCAAUGGCCAAGACUGGCUACCUGAGGAGACUGAGUCCCAUGCUAAUGAGGCUAAGAUUUUAUACUGAUUUUGUUUUGCUCUGAGAUGGUAAUCUAAUAACCCCCGUCUCCAGCAGCUCGGUGGCUGAAUUGGUGGAAACCUAUCCUCAGAUGGCUAGUGGAGAAACAGUUCAGAGCCCAGAUCAUGCUGGAGAGCAGGAGAGCCUUGGUGAAAGAUGAAAUGGCAAAAUGCUUAAGAGUUGGGGAUCAGGAGGCAGACACACCCACAUUUGAAGCCUGGCUCCCCCAUUUGCUCUCUAGGUGAUAGAGCAAGUUACUAACCACUCUGAGCUUCUGUUAUUUCUAAGAGUAGAAGAAAUAAAAGGAAUAGUGCCCCAUUAUUUGUAAGAAAGUGUGAAUGACAAGGUGCAUGUAAAGCAUUCCACAGUCAAUAUUAGCGAUUGUCACUAUUAUUUGUGUAUACAAUAAACAGCACUGCCCAUGGAAGGCUCUAACUCUAGAGUCCUUCCCAACCCUGUCUCUAUCACUUGAAAGAAUAUCCACUCUGUGAGUGUUGUGCUUACACAUUUUGUUCCUAGAGCCCAGCCGACUUACUGUCAUGCUCGAGGGAAGCUUCAUUUAGUUGAUCUGUUUGGGUUAUACAUUUAUGGAUUUAUUCCACAAAUCACAGUGGUCUUCACAGUCAUGAUGAUUCUUCUUUAUGAAAAAUAGUUGAGAAAGCUAGAAUAUAUUUUUAAGCCCUACUUGGGAACCUACAAGCAGAAAUUAACUGGCAUAUUACUGUGUUCCAUUUAAGUCUAAGAGGUUGAAAUCAUUAAGGCCAACACGUUUUAUUUUUCCUUAAGGAUAUCAGACAUGUGACAAAAAAAGCUUUCAUAAGGAAUGCCUGAAAUAGGGGAGAAGUUCUUACAAUGGCUUGUAAGAAGUUCUCAUUUCCCUACUGAUGGAUUGGGAGGCUCAGAGAAGUCUAUGGAACAAAAGAGAUCCACUCCAGCUUUGAGUGAGACAAAAUUUUUAAGGUCAUGGCUGUUUUUUUUUUUUUUUUUUUUUUUUUGAGAGAGAGAGUUUCACUCUUGUUGCCCAGGCUAGAGUGCAAUGGUGUGAUCUCGGCUCACCACAACCUCUGCCUCCCGGGUUCAAGCAAUUCUCCUGCCUCAGCCUCCCAAGUAGCUAAGAUUACAGGCAUGUGCCACCACACCCGGCUAAUUUUGCAUUUUUACUACAGACGGGAUUUCUCCAUGUUGGUCAGG
rnacentral:lncRNA from 10 species